rnacentral:lncRNA from 1 species
CAUUCAACUUAUAGCCGGACCACACAAUACAAACCGAAACUUAGAUACAAUAAAUGAGGAAACGUUCAAACUUAAUAAUAGUCAACCAUUCUCCAAACCACACGUCAGUACACAAAAAUACAAUUCGUCCAAAGGUUACAUUUCCAUACCAAAAGUACAAUCCAAAGCCGAAGGCAUAAACAAAAGUAUUAGCAACCCUAAAACAAAAGUACAUCAAGAGGCUGCUCCAUUUUACCUCCGAAUUCAACCUGUUAAGGAAAACAAAUCUACAGGGUGAGCAAAACGCUCGUGAGGCCAAGAACACACAUGCAGACACAUAGUUCAGAUAACAAGCCCAAAUAACAAUUCAGGUAAUAACUUGCAAGUAAUUAAUAAGGCCAACAAAAUGUAACCAGAAACAAUUCAAGGAUAUGGAAGCUCUCAGGAGCUAAGUUCCACAUUUGCCGAUGUCAUUUGUAUAUCUCCCCGUGAUGACUCUCCGUCAACCGGGUUGAUAUUUUCAUAUCCGUAGUUCACCACUUACUUCUCAUCCGUCCACCAUACACCACUUCGAGCCCGCACUCACUACAAGAAAAAAGGUCAUUAGUGACAACAUUUCUUUGUGACGACAAAAAGUCGUCACAAAAUGAGGUUGUUUAGUCACGACUUUGAAGGUUGUCACAAUUGACUCAAAGCAACUGAGUUUUCAGUGACAACUUUUAAUUGUCGUCACAAAACUACUUCGCGCCAUGGGACUUGGAAGGCGCGAGUUUUGUGAUAGUGACGACUUGAUAAAAGUUGUCAGUAAUUCUACCACUUUCUUUGACAACUUUUCGUUGUUGUCACUGUUUAUGUUUAUUGACGACCAAUUUUUGUCAAUAAAACUAUAGUGUAGUUAGUGACAACAUAAGUAUCAUCACUAACUUGAACAUCUCUAAUGCAUUUAUUUAAUUGUGAACCUCAAUAUUAAUUUAUUUUUUUUAAAUUUGAUGAUUUAUUAACUAUGACUUUAUUUAAUUGUGAGCCUCAAUAUUAAUUUAAUUUUUUUUUAAAAUUUGAUGAUUUAUUAAACUAGUCAUAGUUACUUAAAUAUUAAUUUAAGUUAUUUACGGACGACUUUUUGUUGUCGUCACUGAUCACGAAAAAAAAAGUUAUUAGUGACAACAUUUUGUAGUGAUGACAAUAAGUCGUCACAAAAGGAGCUUCUUUAGUCGCGACACCUAAAGUUGUCACAAUUGCAUCAAAGCAACCAAAUGUUUAGUGACGACCCGUUAUUUUCGUCACAAACUACACUGCAAGAAAUAUGGUCAUUAGUGACAACAUUUUUUAGUGACGACAAAAGUCGUCACAAAACGUGGUUGUUUAGUGACGACAAGAAAAGUUGUCAUAAUUGCUCAAAGCAACUAAGUCUUCAGUGACGACCUUGAAAAAGUUGUCACUAAAAUGAUCUCUAUAGUUACAACUUCUAAUAUCGUCACUGUCACUCUACCAAUUCGGAUUUAGUGACAAGAAUUAAUUGUCACUGUUUAAAGUAAUUAUUUUUAAGUCACUUUCAUUAAUUCUACUGUGUCACCCUAACUUUUGCGAUUUAGCCCCAAAUGUUGUAAAAAAUUCCAUUAAUUCCAUUAUGAUACCUUAACUUUUACAAUUUAGCUCCAUAUGUAGUACACCGAUUUCUUUAAUUCUAUUAUUACUCCCUAACUUUUGUAAUUUAGUCCCAUAUGUAAUUCACCAAUUUCAUUAAUUCUAUUAUGGCACUCUAACUUUUGCAAUUUAACCCCCAUAUGUAAUACACCAAUUUUAUUAUUUCUAUUAUGGCACCCUAACUUUUACAAUUUAGCCCCUAUUUUUUUAUUAGGAAAUUGCGAAUGGUAUCUUGAUAAACUAUGCAUAAAUAUUUUAUAAUUUUCUCAAACUUAAGUAAUAAUUUGUUAUAAACUCUAAAGAUAUAUCUUUCAUUACAAUAGUUAUAAGGCAGGCAGGUCUUUUUAUCAAUGGAAUAAGAAAUUUAUGCCAGAUUUAUCUUUUGUACUACAUGCCAAGUAGUAUUAGCAAAGGAAUAACAAAGUACUACAAAGUAAUUAACAAAAUAGCCUUCAGAGAGUGUAGUUUAUGGGCAAAUGAGCAUUAUCUAUUCAAAGUACCAACUUUUUAUGGGUAUUUUACUUUCAAACAUAUAAUUUAUGAUAAAUUUAUAAAUGUUUGUAAGUAAAAUUCAAAAAGUGUUACACUGAUUUCUUACAAAACGAAAACUGGCAGGUUAUCUUUUCAACAUAAAUUAAAUUUUUUUUAAAAAAGAAAUGACCCAUAAAGUACCAACUCUUUGUGGGUUUCCUCCAUUACAUGAACAAAUAUUCUGCUCUUUAUGGGCAUUUCACUCUGAAUCAUUUAAUUUAUGUUAAAUACAUAAAUGUUUGUAAGUAAAAUUCAAAAAGUGUUGCACUAAUAUUUUUUUGAAAGGGAAACUGGUAGGUUUUGUAUUUAACAUAAAUUAAAUAUGUGAAAGCAAAAAAAAAAAAAUUACCCAUAAAUCUAUGUCUUGCAAAUCUAAACUAGUAAAAUAGUUUCAAACAAAAUUAAACAUUAAAAUAAACUGUAAUUUAUACACAUUAAAAUAUCUGUAAUUUAUACACAUUUUGCAACUACUACUUUGUGUUUUCUCUGUAAUGAAUUUUUUAACUAUUGAGAACUUAAGUUUUGUCUUGCAAAUCUAUACUAGUACAAUAGUUUUAAACAAAAUUAAACAUUAAAAUAAAUGUUUGAAAAAGAACAAAAGCACAUUUAUUACUUGCAGUAAUGUAACAAAAUUUUCUCAACCAUUAUCAAUAUUUUCACAAAACUAUUAAAAACUAGCAAUUGACAAUAUUAAAAAGGGAUAAUUUCAGAAACCUCCCCUGAGGUUUCUGACAAUUUCACUGACCUCCCCUGAGGUUUCCACAAUUACACUGACCUCCCCUGGCAGAACUUGGGACCCAAUUGCUGACAUCAUAUAAUGCAAAAUUACUAUUAUACCCAAGACAUUUUGUGUUUUGGAUAGUAUUGGAUUGCAUUUCUAUUUAUUUAAUGUAUGGUUAUGAAAUUUGUAAUGAUAUUACUCUUGGAUUGCAGUUUUGGUUUGCACCUUAUUACUGUUAAGGUUUUAUAAAUGACUGUUUUAGUUCUUGGAUUGCACCUUACCUCCAAAAUUUGGGAAUUUACCCAAAUUUUCCAUUUUCUAAUAUUCCUACAAAUAUGCAAAAUUAUGCAUAUCCCUCAAAUCUACCCAAUAUUAAUGUUUUGUUAAACUCUAAAUAACAAAAAUAUGAAAUAUAUUAUUUAAAUAUAUUUUAGUUACACACAAGUUGGAUGGGUAACUAGUGUGUCAGAGAGUUGCCAUAAUCUCCUUAAACCCGCAUGCGGGUUUAAAGAGUAUUCGGAUAUUCUCAUAUGCACCUAUGCAAAUCGAACCAACCGGAUAUCUUAUCCGUAUCCCAUUUUUUUAAAUAAAAAUCUUAUAAAUUUGAAAAAUAAAAUCAAAUUUAGAUGUAUUAGGGUUUUAAAAAUAUUAUAUAAGUGAUAAAAAUUUUAUAAAUUGUAAAAAUAAAAUCAAAUUUAAAUAAUUAAAUGUUAUAUUUGCAUAAGAAAUAAUACAAUAAUCAUAAUAAUGAUAAUACAAUAAUAUUGAUGUAAUAAAACUGCCAUUAAUUUAAAUAUUUACUUAUAAUGCCCAAAGAGCCUAAUUACCAAUUUUUUCUUCUCGCGCUCAAAUAUAACAUUAACCCGCAUGCGAGCUAACCUUGAAAUAGAAAAAACACAGAAUCCCGCUUGCUGCAAUAAUGUUCUUUAGUGCUGCAAUUAUAAGAAAUUAGUAUAAAAUAUUAGCAAAUUAUAAAAGUACAUUUUCAAUUAUAUGAAAUUAACAAAUUUUGCCACCUAUGUUGAUGAAAAUUUUUAUUUUUUGCUAAAAAAUAAAGAAUAAUACUAUAGCAUUAAAAGGCAAUUCGUCAGGCAAAUAUCCUUCAAAAGGCAAUGCUACUUUAAACAUAUUUUUCUACUUUUGCCCACGUCAAUUCAUCAGGAAAAGUUUUCGUUUUCCCACCAUUUUUUUACCACCAAUUUUUUUCCUUUUCGCCCAAAAAAGAAUUUAGACGGACAUUAACUUAUAGUAGGUUGCAAAAUGGCCUUCACAAAAGCCCCAAUCUUCAUCAUCCUCUUCCUCAUCACCCUCCUCCCGAUCUCCACCAAUUCUCAAGACCCCAGUUCGGAUUUGCUCUUGCAGCUCGAAUCCCUCCAAUCCCAGUCCCCCAAAGGCGGCGUUAUCCAUCUCACUGAUUCCCUCAAACGGAUUCUAUCCAUUCCAACUCAUCGUCCCUGUGCUUUCCUCGUCUUCUUCGACGCCCAACAACUCCACUCCAAACCCGAACUCUCCCUCCCUUCUCUCAAAUCCGAGUUCUCCCUCGUCUCUAAAUCCUUUUUAGCCAACAACCCUCCAACUUCUCACUCAAAACUCUUCUUCUUCGACAUCGAAUUUCAAGAAUUCCAGUCCUUUUUCGCCCUUUUCGGAGUAAAUUCUCUGCCCCACACCGAUGUCAAGAAAGACUCCGUCCAGAUAAAUGCAUCAGAUUUCUCGAGGCUCGCCGAAUCCAUGGCUGAAUUUGUCAAGGCCAAAACGAAGCUGAGCAUUGGGCCAAUUGAUCGCCCCUCUUUGAUUUCUAAGAAGCAAUUGAUGUUUCUCAUUGCUGUUAUUCUGAUUUCGGCUCCAUUCUUGGUGAAAAAAGUGAUUUAUGGGAACACCCUUUUGCACAAUAAGAGUAUUUGGAUGACCGGAGAGAUUUUUGUCUACUUUUUCAGUGUCUCCGGUUCAAUGCAUAACAUAAUUAGGAAAAUACCCAUGUUUUUGGUUGAUAGGAAUGACCCUGGGAAGUUGGUUUUCUUUUAUCAGGGGGUCCGGGAUGCAAUUGGGAGCUAAAGGGUUCGCGGUUGGGUUCUUGUACACUGUGGUGGGAUUGUUGCUGGCUUUUGUUACUCAUGUUAUUGUCUAUGUGAGGAAUAGGAAUGCUCAGAGGUUGGUGAUGUUUAUUUCCUCCUGGGCUGUUCAGAUGAUUUUUGUUGGCAUUCUUGUCGCAUUUCUGGUUUCUUGAUUUUAGUUUGUUCUACCGUGUUAGUUUUUGUUAGUGUUUCAGAUAAGGAAAAUUGACGUUUUAUUUUUGGUGUAAAUUAACAAUGUACCUUUCAUUUUGCUUUUGUGCUCAUAUUCUGUAUUUGCAACUGUUGCUAAAAAAAUUGAAUCAUGUAAUUGGCAGUGAUUUAUGUAUCUUUUUGGUGUUGUCUUGGUGAAAUGCUUGUAAUAAGCAUAGCAAUCACUUGUUUUCUCGUUUUCUAUGGUAUCUGUUCUAGAUCUUCUUUCACAUGUAGAUAUGGCGUUGAGAUAAGUUUCCGACUAAAUGAGGAAAGGUGCAAUUUUGAAUGGUAAACCUGCGGCCAAAUUGCAAAUCACAUGCCAAAUUAUGAACUAGAGCUAUAAGUUGGCAUUUGCAGUUGGUAGUGGGUGUUUCUUCAGGAGUUGGAAGAAUUUGAUUCACAAUUCCAUAACAUUUUAAAAGGCUAUACUACGUACUCAGUAAUUAGACUAGAGAGGAUGAUGCUUGAGUGCUAGAGCUUAGUGCAAGAGGAUACUGCUAUAUUAUUUGUGAUAUAAGUAAUUCUCAAUCAACUUGCACAACGGUGAUCUUUAUGGUAGUUUUCUAGUUCGAGUAAGAAUAAGUACUUUGUAAAAUCUGUUUUGCUUGCUUUCCUGGAAUUUAAGUUUCAUGUCUUACAUGGUAGUUUGUUCUCCAUAUAGCAUUAUUUUAUACUAUAUAAUCACAAACUUUUUGCUGGAUGUAGGUUGGAUUUUCUGUUAACGGAGUAAUAAUACUAACUUUUAUGUGGGUUUUGAAGGCAUUCCUUGAGGUAAUACCUUUUCUUUUCACAUGAAUGGUUCCCAUUUUUGGUGCCAUUCUUGAAGUAAAUUUCAUUGUGAAUGUUUUGCAAUGUCCCGCCACUUGCCUAACUUACUAGUUUGAUUGGAAUACAAUAUUAAGGGGUGCUGGUUUUCUAUGGAAUUAAUACACCAUGACAAACAGCAAAAGUAAUUUCAGAGAUCUAGAACAAGAAAGUUGUUUUUUGCUUUUAAAUGGCAAAGAAACAUUCUAGUUAUGUUGGUACACAUUGCUCCUACUUGACACCUUAUAUCAUGAUCGACAUUACUUUGGUUAUCAUACUUGACACCUUGUAUCCUCUGUGGUGCAUUAGUUUGGAUUGUUUUGGUUUAGUUUAGUUUAGUUUAUUUGAAUGUUUUAGCUAAGCAAGUGAACUGAAGUUGCUUUUCCUUUAGUGUUGUGCUUAUCGUCUUAUCAACUGGUUAUAUUGUUCAUAGCAGUACUUAUAUCAGUACUUGUUAUAGUAGUGCUUGUUGCCUUAUCAACUUGUUAUAUUAUUCCUUUGAGGCUGAAGUUUAAUAGCAGUACUUAUUUCUUGAGCUAAUUUGGUGCAUUAGUUUGGGCCUGAUUUUGAUUUUCUUUGGGGCUGAUUUUGAAUGUCCAGCUUUAAUUAUUGAGGUUCUUAUUGGAUUGCAAAUUUUAGCUAAGCAACCGAACUACAAGAGAUAUAGUGAAAUUGGGAAAUGGCAAGGUUUAGUGAAAUUUUGUCUGAUGUUAAAAAUUCCCCCUUGUGUUGAAAUUUGGUAUUUUUUUUUCACGACAAAACAGCCUAGCAAAUUGUCACACUUAAAAGACAGUAUCUUUUAUCGGAACAAAACAAUGACUAAAUUCGUUUAUAUUAUUCCAAUCUUGUUUGCCACAUCCAAAGCAUCGUAGUCUGGAGUCAACCGAACAUAUGCUUUCUUUGUUCCAUCAGGCCUGAUCAUAGUGUUCACUUUCUUGAUCUGUAUGUCGUACAUCUUCUUCACUGCAUCUUUGAUUUUUUCUUAUCAGCACGGAUGUCAACUAUGAAUACCAUGGUAUUGUUAUCUUCAAUCUUUUUCAUGGCAGAUUCAGUAGUCAAAGGAUAUUUGAGAAUCUGAUAAUGGUCCAACUUAUUCCUAGGAGGAGCACUGAUGCGUGGGUACUUCGGGUUCCCGUCCUUUUUCAAUGUCUUAGGACGAUGGAAGGUAACUUUGGUCCGGAUCUUCUUGGCUUUCUUCUUAAAAGUUGUCCCAGAUUUGACAAAUUUGGCAACCUUGGCUAUAGGGUGUUGUUGAACUUCAUUAUGAUAUUUGAAUGCUUAUAUGAUAUUUUGACAUUUCGUAAUGCAAUGGAUGCAUUCAUUUGCUAAUUAUAAAUCAUUGUCAUUUUUUUCCAUUUAUAGAUAUAAUUGUUGUAGGAAAAUUUUCAAUUUUCAUGGUGAUAAAGAGUUAUCAUUGAAUCAGAAUUUUUCAUUAAUAACAAUAUAUAGUUGCACUUAAAUGUUCGCUUUUGUUUAUAUGCUGAUUUUAAGUUUAAGGAUGGAGUGUAAUUACUUGUAAGAUUUUUUUUGUUUAUUGUACCAGUUGUCACUAGAUUUGGUUCAAGAAUGGCUAGCAGAGAAUGCCAAGGAAUCAAUAUUGGGACAGGACAUGAGUAUUAGUGGAAUAGCAACUUAUCAGCCAUUUGAUGGAUUGAUGGAGUUGAAAGUGGUAAGUACUUUGACAUUACGUCUCAUUUCUAUCUGUUGUGCAGUUAAUACUUGUUGAGUUGCGUAAAAACCUCUGAAGUUUAUUGCAUUUCCUGCUUCUACUGUGCAAAUUUUUCUGAAGCAAUUUCUGUUCUGAAGUGCUAUUGACUCUAUUAAAAUUGAAGGAGAAACUUCCAUGCAGCAAGUAAUUUGAAUGAAUGCCUUCUAUCUGUUUUAUGGUUAAUACUUGCUGGGUUGCAUAAGAAUCUCUAAAGUUUAUUGCAUUUUCUGCUUCUACUGUGUUAAUUUUUCUGAAGCAAUAUCCAUUCUGAAGUGCUAUUGACUCUGCUAAAAUUGAAGUAGAAACUUCCCAUGCGGCAAGUAAUUCGAUUGAAUGGCUGCUUUGAUGAUGUAUAUUUAAUUCAUAUGAAGUAUCUUUUGGUAAGUGCUUUAGAAUGAGUAGAAUCUUGGUGAAGAAUCUCCACUUGCGAUACAAAAUUGAGUGUGAAGCUAGUUGAUAUCCUGAUUCUAUCUAAACUAAAGACAGAAAAACAAGGGAAAGACAUUCGAAAUGAAGCAAAUAUGUCCUGCAUGAGUCUAAAUCAUUCUGUCAAUGCACAAAAUCGUGUCAUGAAGACAAUCUUUGGCAGAUGUCACAGCACAAAUUAGUCAUGUAUGUUGUACUACUUCUUUGAACUACUGGAAUUUGCAAUGCGUUCCAUUGGUAGCAGAGUACAGGCAAGAAAAUGAAAAACUAGAUUAAAAAAAUUCCAAACGUAUUUAAGACUCAGGGCUUGCUUUUGCCUGCCUAAAGUCUCAAAAAUCUUGAAAAUGAUUACUGUUUCAUGUUUUUUGGUAAUCAAUUUGUGGUUUUCAAACAAUGAAUUACAAGUUUGGUCACUACAAUUUGUUGUAUGUGAUUUGUCACUUGUAAAUAAUGGCUUUGACAUUCCUGUGUAUCCUAACCAAAGUAUUGUGUCUGCAUAAUUAUGAUAUUGACAAAUGUGCUUAAUGAACACUAGUUGCUAACUCACUUUAGUUAAAGAUGAUAGUUUUGAAUAUGUUUCUGCUUCUUGUAGUAGCACUUUCUCUCCCCCUGCCACUGUUGGAGUCUUAAAAGUAAUUAUUCUGGCAAUAAGUCCACAGGUUACUAUUAACAUGGACUCGGAUAAAGUUUGACUUUUUGGCUCUAGGUGUAGCUCUUAUAGCUUCCAGCUAUUAGGAUAUCCAAUUUGUCUCUUCAAUUAGCCAACUUGCAAUCAUGUGUACGGUGCUUGGACUUGCUUUUUAUCUUGUUGCUGUAUAUGCUGAUUCACUAUUCUUGUAGGCAGUAGUUGGAUUCAUGUCUCAAGUAAUGGACAAAUUAGUAUCCUUCAAAAGUGCUUGGUAGGUGACAAUAUUAACUUGUAGUAUCAAGCCUCAAAAGUGCUUGGUAGGUGAUAAGGCUGCUUUUUCUUGUUUAUUAGACCUUAUGUAUAGUUACAUAUUUUUAGAUAUAUGAAAUCCUAUGACAUUCAAAGCUUCAAAGACUACUUUUGGUCUAAAACACAGUGAAGUUUGCAAAGUUGUUUCUCAUAAAUGUGGAAUCGUUUGUUGCUGUCCUUUGACAUCUUAAUAUUAAAAUAAAGAAGUGGAACAAUUCUGCCCAUAUAAUCCUUGGCUCUUAAUGAAUGUUAUUAAACUUCCAUCCUCUAGUAGACUCUGUUUCCGAACUAUAAUGUCUCUUUUUCUACUCUUUGUAUAGCCACUAUCUAGAUGAGACUUAAAACAAAUGAUUCACUUUAUUUUUUGGUGACUCCUUAACUAAUUUUCCUUGUUUUAAUUUUUCUAUCAUCUACUAAUAACUUUACUAUUUUAUUGCAGAUAUAUUGCUCAUUUUAGAGGUUUGGAAGAUUAGCAGUACGGCUUACGUGUCGACUCAAAAACUAUGGUUAUAGUGCUAUCUUAAGUUUAGAAAAUGUUUUGGGACUUGGAAUUGUUUUUUAGUGUAGCCUUGACUUAUAUGGCAAAAUUUGCUCUAUUGAAACUUAUCAAACUAUUUGUAGUGUGAUGUUGCACUUAUUUAUGACAUUUGAAUAUUUAAUAUGUUAUUAUGGCAUUUCCUAUUGUAACGGGUGUCUACGUUUGUUAUUUAUUAAACAUUGCUGAUGUUUUCAUUUUUUAGAUAUUAUUGUAGUAGGAAAAUCAUCAAACUACACAUUGCAAGGUGUUGUAAAUGAGUAGCAUUUCUCAAGCAGGCUGUCUUUAUUGACAAUUGUUGUUGUCACUGAAUCAAAACUAUUCAUUGAUAAGAAGUUGUUGUCACAGUUGAUAAGGGGUUUAUUGACAACAAAGUUGUCACUAAUUAAUAUAUACACUGACUAUGUUGCUUCAUGCAUCAUUGACAAGAAAGCAUGUCGUCACUAAAUUUGUAGCUUUUAUUGACAACAUAUCUUGUCAUAAAAAAGUUUUUAUUCACUGACGACUUUAAAGUCGUCACUGUAUACUUUUACCGACGGAGAUUCAGUGACGACUCUGUGACAACCGAAAUGUUGUCAAUAAAAGUCAUCAGUGACGACUUUUUGCUUUUUUGUGACGAAAAGUAGUUGUCAUUGAAGACCAAAAUUCUUGUAGUGACUACAUUUAUAAGGCGAUACUAUACGAGUAUGCCAAGCGAGAUCUCUCAAUAGAUCAAGCUUAUCAUUUGAGUCUCAUGGCUCACCGAGGUUCCCGACCAAGCCCAUGCCGGCUCGAGUUCCAAGGUCGGCCUAUGAGUUUGGGCGUCCCCCAUUUGUCAUGUAAAUAUCGAGGAGAUUCACUCCAUCGACGUAUGCAAUCAUAGCAUACCAUUUCAUGUAUUCAAGCAUUUGAUAGGUUUAAGCAGACAUUUCAAGUCAUGUAAACCAAACAAAUCAUGUUAAACAUGAGUCAUUCGUUUCGAAUGAGAACGAGUGCGAUCAAGUACACACUCGACUCCAUUUUGUCAAAAUCAGUUAAGCUAAACAUGAAAUCAGGUGAAUCAAGCAUGAAUCAAGACUUUAGGGUUCAAGUAGGCAUACACUUGACACUCACCAAGUUAUGCAAGCAAGUAAAUUGGAGGAAGAGUUCAAACUUCCACAGUAGGGUCCUCUUGGAGGUCCUCGUGCGUGCCUGAGCAAAUAAUAGUGAAUUAUCACCCAUAUCCCAAAUAUCGAGGAAUAAUUCGUUCACUAGUAUUACUCUAGGAAAUUCAGUGAAAAUGAACCUCAAUUACUCGUAAAUCGAGAUUCGAGAGAGGUUUGAUAACAUUCAACACUAUUUAAGUCUUUAUCUAGGAAAUCGGGGAUAAAACGUUUAGAUAAUAUCAAAAGAAUAAAGAGUUCUUGAAAAACUCUAUUUCCUUGAAAGUUGGAAAAAUUUCAGUUUUGUUAUGAAUCUUAGAAAAAUCGUAACUCACUCGGCAUAAGUCAAGAAUUGGAAAACUUUAUACCGUUGAAAACCUCUUAGAAAGUACUGCAAGUUCCUAGAAGACACUUUUCCAUGAAUCGAAGUGCAAAGUGCUCAAAAAUGAGCCUAAAGUUUCUGUUCCAAAUCACCCAGGAUUGAGCCGGGGUUGGUUUUUCGCUAACUUUGAAAAUUUGGCAGAAUUCACUCGUUGCAAACCAGCCCUUGAAAUUUAUAGCUCAAUUAGAGGUACAAGUAAGGUUUAGGUCAGAACAAACGGAUCGAGAAUCGGAGUUUCGAGCACCAAGAUAUGGUAGCUCAAAGUUGGGAAAAAUUCAAGACUGUUACAAAAUUUCCAGAUUUGGUUCCAACUUUGGACCUUUAGUUAAGUGCGAAACGGACUUGGAUUGACACCAAAUUUUGCAGUAUAAUACUUCCAUAUGAAGGUUAUCUCUCUAUCAAAUUUCAUGGAAAAAUACCCUCGGAAGGGGGUCAUUCAAUCAACCAAAGUUUGGAAAAUCCUUAAGGCAAUCUGUCCAAAUCUAAGAUUUUCAAAACGAGCAGUCGCCGUAUUUUGAUCAUAACUCUCUCAAUUUAACUCGGAAUUGGGAAUGGUUGAUAGUGUUAGAAAAUAAAUUCAUAGGGCUACAACUUCACAGAAGAAAUCGUUCCAUGUUUCGGCAUGCAACUGGUUCAAAAUCAAGCCUCAAGUUGCAGCAUCAUCAAAUCAUUUCGGCAGAACGGAGAAACAGGACAGUCGACUUCAGAUGAAUGGUGUGGCUCACACACAUGAAACCAGAAUGUGCAUUAUACACCGUUGGAAACAUGGGAACGUAUAGUUUCAAAUUCCGCUGACGGAACUUGAUUUCGACAUCGGAGCAUGGAGUUAUGGACAAAAUACAACCACUGGUCUGGAUUACGGCGAAACCGUUUUCCAGAUUACCAAUUUUUGAAAUAAAUUCGUUUGAGCAACCAAAACUCAAUAUUUUUCAACGAAAUUUUGUACACAACUUCUAAAACAUGUAAACAACAUAAUCAAGCCUUUAAAUCCUCAAUUAUCUGCAGUAAAGUGACCGAACAGAGCAGGGGUAAAAUGGGAACUUUUUGUUUCGAGAGUUAAACAACGUUUCUGUCAAGAAUGCACCUUUAAUCUACUUCCUUAAGCUCUAAUUCAGCAAAUAAACCAUCAUCAAACAUCAUCACAGCCAUCAACCAAAGUGGGAGUUCAUAGAGCCCACAUUUCCAACAAUACAAGCUAUUAAAGCAAAGAUUCCAACUCAAAUGCGUAAAUCAACUUCCAUAAGACAAGUUGAAGGUGUUAGAUUGCUACCUACUUUGAUGGCUGGUUUGGACAGAUUUUUCGGUCCUUUGAAGCUUGAAGAAACCGUGAAAGCUCCUCCCUUUUUCAGCCUAUGUUGUUGUCCAAGUGAAAAGCUAAAUGAAUGUGAAGUUUGAUGAGAAUCUAUGGAAGUUUUGGUAGGAAUUUGGUUGAGUUUUGGAAGAAAGGAAAUGAUGAAGCUUCGGUUGUUCCUUUGCUGCAGUCUAGCCGUCCAUUGCAGCAGAGGAAAGGAAAUGAAUUGCGGUUCCGAAGCCUUUGCGUAUAAGAGACGCUUGACGUCAAAUCUUUUAAUACGUCAAAUCAAUUAUAACUAGUACCCUACAC